AACAUCUUUUCUUGUUAGUUUCUGAAGUAUGGCCUGCCCGCUGACGUAUUUUGAGUUGAAGGGCCGCGGUAUUUUGACCGUGCAAAGGUAGCAUAGUCAUUAGUUCUUUAAUUGUGAUCUGGUAUGAAUGGCUUGACGAGACAUGGGCUGUCUUGGCAUGGAUUUAUUGUUGAAUUUGGAGUUUAGGUUAAAAUUCUUAGAUGUUUUUAUGGGACGAGAAGACCCUAUAGAGUUUGACAUUUGGUUGCGUAUUCUUGUUGUUUGUUUUAACUUUUUGCGUGUCUUUUGUUUUGUUGGGGUGAUGGGAGGAAUUUAUUUAACUCCUCUUUUAUGUGAUAUAUUGAUUUAUGUUUAUUUUGAUCCAUUUAUUUUGAUUGUAAGAUUAAAUUACCUUAGGGAUAACAGCGUUAUCUUCCCUGAGAGUUCUUAUUGGCGGGGGGGUUUGCGACCUCGAUGUUGGAUUAAGGUUAAUUUUUGGUGUAGGAGC
rnacentral:rRNA from 1 species